rnacentral:snRNA from 1 species
GGAUAUGGAGGUGAUCUGGCUGUGACAUCUGUCUCCCCACUGAUCACCAAGGUUGAUUUGGCUGAUCCGGCUGGCUGGGCAAGUGUCCCCUUCCUCCCUUACCGCUCUAUGUGCGUCUCUCCAGGGGCUGCAUGCUGGUUGAAGAUGACGACCUUCCUUCAUAGAGAAGAACCAUUCUUCAGUCAAGGUUAUAAGAGUGGCUGAGCUCUCCUGCUAGAACCUCUGGACAAGCUCUCAAGGUCAAUUGGUAAGAGAAGGUAGGGUAGUCAGGCUUCCAAGGCUCCAGACAUAUCCAAAUGAGUAGCUGCAUCCAAUUGUCUGCCUUUCUU